GGGGGCGAUAGGCUCUCGACGGGGAGACGGCGUGGUGGUGUGGCAGGUCCGGGAGCAUGUCCUGGUUAAAAAAAUGCAACAAUGACAAUUGCCAAUACUGACAAUGUCGUUCAUGUUGACUUUCGUCAACCUGAAUUAGCUUUGGCGGCCUAACUAGCUUAGCCAAACCGUUCUACCUAGACUCUCCCACGGUUUAGGCUAGGGCGUUAUUAAGUGGGAUCGAUCUUCUAGGUGGUUUUGACUAGAGGAUCUAAAUUUUUCAAAACCUAGCGAAAGCCAAAUCCUGUGCUUGGGAGUUGCUUUGGCAAAUUUUAAUACAAGUGCUAAGCCUGUAGAAGCCCAUGACAAAGCUCUUCGGACGCGGGUUCGAUUCCCGCCGCCUCCACCA
rnacentral:tmRNA from 1 species